CUGUACGAGUUUGAUCCUGGCUCAGAUUGAACGCUGGCGGAAUGCUUUACACAUGCAAGUCGAACGGCAGCACGGGGCAACCUGGUGGCGAGUGGCGAACGGGUGAGUAAUACAUCGGAAUGUGCCCAAUCGUGGGGAUAACGUAGCGAAAGUUACGCUAAUACCGCAUACGAUCUACGGAUGAAAGCGGGGGAUCGCAAGACCUCGCGCGAAUGGAGCGGCCGAUGUCAGAUUAGGUAGUUGGUGGGUAAAGGCUCACCAAGCCAACGAUCUGUAGCUGGUCUGAGAGGACGACCAGCCACACUGGAACUGAGACACGGUCCAGACUCCUACGGGAGGCAGCAGUGGGGAAUUUUGGACAAUGGGCGCAAGCCUGAUCCAGCCAUUCCGCGUGCAGGAUGAAGGCCUUCGGGUUGUAAACUGCUUUUGUACGGAACGAAAAGGUCCUGGUUAAUACCUGGGGCUCAUGACGGUACCGUAAGAAUAAGCACCGGCUAACUACGUG
rnacentral:rRNA from 1 species